AUUGAACGCUGGCGGCAGGCCUAACACAUGCAAGUCGAGCGGAUGAAUGGCGCUUGCUCCUGGAUUCAGCGGCGGACGGGUGAGUAAUGCCUAGGAAUCUUCCUGGUAGUGGGGGAUAACGUCCGGAAACGGGCGCUAAUACCGCAUACGUCCUGCGGGCGAAAGUGGGGGAUCUUCGGACCUCACGCUAUCAGUUGAGCCUAGGUCGGAUUAGCUAGUUGGUGGGGUAAAGGCCUACCAAGGCGACGAUCCGUAACUGGUCUGAGAGGAUGAUCAGUCACACGGGAACUGAGACACGGUCCAGACUCCGACGGGAGGCAGCAGUGGGGAAUAUUGGACAAUGGGCGAAAGCCUGAUCCAGCCAUGCCGCGUGUGUGAAGAAGGGCUUCGGAUUGUAAAGCACUUUAAGUUGGGAGGAGGGGCAGUAAGUUAAUACCUGGCUGUAUUGACGGUACCAACAGAAUAAGCACCGGCUAACUUCGUG
rnacentral:rRNA from 1 species